GAUGAACGCUGGCGGCGUGCCUAACACAUGCAAGUCGAACGGAAGGGCCCUGAGUUUGUGGGGUGCUCGAGUGGCGAAGGCGUGAGUAACACGUGUGUAUCCUGCCCUUGUCUUUGGGAUAACAUCACGAAACUGGGGCUAAUAUAGGAUAGGAGAUCCUGCACCAUGGUGGGGGUAGGAAAGUUUCGGCGGUUGGGGCUGGACUAGCGGGUUAACGGCUUGUUGGUGGGGUAGUGGCUUACCCAGGCUUUGACGGGUAGGCGGCCUGUGAGGGUGACCGGCCACAUUGGGACUUAGGGACGGCCCAGGUUGCUACGGUAGGCAACAGGGGGGAAGAUUGCACAAGCGACGGAAGCCGGAUGAAGCAGCGCCGCGGGUGGUAAGACGGUCUUCGGGUGGAAAAACGCAUGCGCCUGUGACGAAGCGUGUCUGACGGUAAUGGAUAAAGAAGCACCGGCUAACUUCGUG
rnacentral:rRNA from 1 species